GAAUCUUUUAGAAGUGACUUUUAAAAUCAGAGGCAUAGAAAUGGAAAAAAGCUGCGCCCCCAUGAAAUUGGUCUUCAAGAAGAAAUGACUCGGAUGUGAUCCAUGGUGGUGGCAGGGAAUCACCUAAGUGCAAGCCAGGUUCCAAGUGACCAGUGGGAAAGACCUGAAGUGUGGCCACACCUCUUCCUUGCAUACUCCAGCCCAGAGACAUGUGGCCUGGGCAGAGGCGCUGUCUCUGGUCCAGCCCGGGGAAGGCAGAAGAACACUUUCUUUCAGUUUCUGGAAAAGAUGCUCUGGCCUCUAAUUCUUCACCUACCUGAAGUAGAUGUCUCCUCCAGCUCUAACGUUCCCUGUGGUGGCCAGGUGAGGGCUGUGGCUCAGAGAUGA
rnacentral:lncRNA from 1 species